ACGAACGCUGGCGGCGUGCUUAACACAUGCAAGUCGAACGAUGAAAGAGAAUCCGAUCUCUUCGGAGUGAAGAAUCUCUGGAUUAGUGGCGGACGGGUGAGUAACGCGUGAGCAAUCUGCCUGACACAAAGGGAUAGCCUCGGGAAACCGGGAUUAAUACCAUAUGAUAUCACAUCUUCGCAUGAAGAAGUGAUUAAAGAAUUUCGGUGUAAGAUGAGCUCGCGUCCCAUUAAUUAGUUGGUGAGGGUAACGGCCCACCAAGAUAGCGAUGGGUAGCCGAUCUAAGAGGAUGACCGGCCACAUUGGAACUGAGAAACGGUCCAAACUCCUACGGGAGGCAGCAGUGGGGAAUAUUGCACAAUGGGGGAAACCCUGAUGCAGCGACGCCGCGUGAGCGAUGAAGGCUUUCGAGUCGUAAAGCUCUGUCCUAUGGGAAGAUAAUGACGGUACCAUAGAAGAAAGCCCCGGCUAAUUACGUGCCAGCAGCCGCGGUAA
rnacentral:rRNA from 2 species